AGAUGGGCACGCGCAAGAUUAGAUAGUUGGUGAGGUAACGGCUCACCAAGUCGAUGAUCUUUAGGGGGCCUGAGAGGGUGAUCCCCCACACUGGUACUGAGACACGGACCAGACUCCUACGGGAGGCAGCAGUGAGGGAUAUUGGACAAUGGGUUAGCGCCUGAUCCAGCCAUCCCGCGUGAAGGACGACGGCCCUAUGGGUUGUAAACUUCUUUUGUACAGGGAUAAACCUAUCUACGUGUAGAUAGCUGAAGGUACUGUACGAAUAAGCACCGGCUAACUCCGUGCCAGCAGCCGCGGUAAUACGGAGGGUGCAAGCGUUAUCCGGAUUUAUUGGGUUUAAAGGGUCCGUAGGCGGAUGUGUAAGUCAGUGGUGAAAUCUCACAGCUCAACUGUGAAACUGCCAUUGAUACUGCAUGUCUUGAGUAAGGUAGAAGUGGCUGGAAUAAGUAGUGUAGCGGUGAAAUGCAUAGAUAUUACUUAGAACACCAAUUGCGAAGGCAGGUCACUAUGUCUUAACUGACGCUG
rnacentral:rRNA from 1 species